rnacentral:rRNA from 1 species
GAUGAACGCUGGCGGCGUGCCUAAUACAUGCAAGUCGAGCGAACGGACGAUAAGCUUGCUUCUCUGAUGUUAGCGGCGGACGGGUGAGUAACACGUGGAUAACCUACUUAUAUUACUUGGAUAACUUCGUGAAACCGUAGCUAAUACCGGAUAAUAUUUUGAACCGCAUGGUUCAAAAGUGAAAGACGGUCUUGCUGUCACUUAUAGAUGGUUCCGCGCUGCAUUAGCUAGUUGGUAAGGUAACGGCUUACCAAGGCGACGAUGCGUAGCCGACCUGAGAGGAUGAUCGGCCACACUGGAACUGAGACACGGUCCAGACUCCUACGGGAGGCAGCAGUAGGGAAUCUUGGGCAAUGGGCGAAAGCCUGACGGAGCAACACCGCGUGAGUGAAGAAGGUCUUCGGAUCGUAAAGCUCUGUUAUUAGGGAAGAAAAGAUGUAGAAGAAAACGUGGAUGUCUUGACGGUACCUAAUCAAAAAGCAACGGCUAACUACGUG